rnacentral:tRNA from 1 species
AAGGGAGACCUAAUUCAGGUAGGAGACGAAAAAAAAGUAGUCCCUACCAAGAAUCAAUCCCAAAAGGUCGGAGCGAGGCAAAAUUGGCUUUCAAACUAGGUUCUGGGUUCACACAAGACCUGAAUCAGGAACAAGGGCUAUUAGCUCAGGUGGUUAGAGCGCACCCCUGAUAAGGGUGAGGUCCCUGGUUCGAGUCCAGGAUGGCCCACCUGUACAGGUGGCAAAAACAAAGAAAAGAAGCGAGGAAUCAGCACCUUAUCUUACUUAUAUAGUAAGAGAGAAUGCUGGCUCUGAGUUCAGAGUCCAGAGGAACCUUGAAAACUGCAUAGAGCUAGGUGAAAAAGCCAAAAAAGAAGACCAUAA